rnacentral:lncRNA from 10 species
AUUCAGCUGUGGAAGUUCAGCUCUCAAGAAGCUCACAUCUAGGGUGCGGAGUUAGAGAAAUCAGACCGGCACAUGAUACAGAAGGGACUAGGUGCUAUGGAGAGACGUGAGCUGGGGAGGGGAUAGCCUGUGUUGGGGUGGAGGCUGCUGCUUUAGAGAGAUGAGGGAAGGCCACUGGAAUCUGAUGCUGAGCAGAGAUCAGGGAUUUUAUAUAAGGGAAGUGAGGGAGUGAGUCGUGGCCACCUGAGGAGAGCAUUCCAGGAUAAGGAAACAGCAGGUGCAAAGGCACUGCUGCAGGGAGGUGCUUGGUAUAUCCAGGGAGUGUGGAGAAGUCCCGUGUGGUGGCUGCAGAGGGAGCAGGGGGAGGAUGGUGGGAGGUGAGAAUGGAGACCUCUGAGGUAGGUCCUCGAGAGCCUUAGAGGCCACGCGAAUUGCAUGGGACCCACUGGAGGGAGCCAUUCCCAGAGCCAUGACAGGUUGGGACCUGCCUGCAAAGGACCACAUUCUGGCCGUGGGGAAGGGCAGAAGCAGGAGACCAAUUUGGAGGCUGGGACCUGGGGCCUGGGGCCUAGGACAGGCAUGGUGAGCAGUGGUCAGUUUCUGAAUCCAUUCUCAGGGUAGACACAAUAGGACUGGUGAUUGAUUGAAUAUGAGAUGUGAGACAAAGACAAAUGCCAAGGACGGCUCCAAGGGUUUUUCCUGAACAGCUGCCAGGAUGAAGUUGGCAUUUAUUUAGGUGGAGGAAGAAAGGAAGGAGCAGGUUUGGGAGCUGGAGAUAGAGAUUCGUUUUUGAAAGUGUUAAUUUGAGAUGUUCAAUUAGACACAGAGUGGAGAUGCCAAAUAGACAAUUAUACAGGAGUCUGGUGCUGAGUGUUGAGGUCUGGGAUGGAGACAUCACCCUGAGGGUCCUUGGCAUUUAAAUGCUGUUUAAAACCAGGAGGCUAGAUGAGCUCACCAAGGGAGAGGGAAGGGAUAGAAGAGGGAGAGGGUCUGAGGACUCAGCCCUGGAGCAUAGAUAAUUAACAGGCAGAUGGGGAGAAACUGGGAGAGGGGACUGAGAAGGAACAGCAGGCAAGAGAAAGAGGGCUAAGGGAGAGCCAUGACCUACAAUCAGGUCAAGAAGCAUUUCUACAGGAGAGAUUUAUGCUGCCGAUCUUCCAAUAGAUCAAGUAGCGUGGAGACCACUGAGACCCAGCCACUGGAGACCAUUAGCCUAGGGAGGUCAUUGGUGUCCUUGCCAAGCCCUGUUUUGGUUCUGGGUCCAGGAGACAGAGUGUAGUCAGAGGAGAGGAAUCACAGACAGCCCAGUGCAGACAACAGGCAACUCUUUCAAGGAGUCAUCUUAUAAAGACUGAAGCUGAGAGGCUUUUUUCCCAGUCAUCUUGACCACAAGAUCAGUUCUCUCCGUGAACAUAAAGACAAAAUCGCUGUGACACCAACAGACAGAUUUUUUAACAAGUGGAAUCCAUGUCUCAUGUAAACAAUGUGCUACUGCCUGCCAUUGAGUUCUCUUCCCUCGUUUUCCUUUUUGAAGACUUAACCCCUUUCCCAAAGGGACAUGUGCUCAGGUUUCUUGACUCCACAGCAAUCCCUUCUGUUGUGUAAGGCAAACUGAUCACCUUUCACAACGAGACAAGAAGUGAUUUAAAUCAGAUGGUGACCCAAUGACAAUGUCUGUGCUGUGUCCUAUGGAGAAAACCAAAGCUGAAAUCCAGUAACAGGUGAUAGGAAGAUGUGGAGAUAGAAACUGACCUGAAUUCUGAAAAACAACAAGAGAAAAGGAAGUCUGAGAACAAGCUGGUGUUCUUCCAAAACCUGUUCAUUGUGUGAAUUCCUAGAAGAUAGCGUGACACCGAGAAACAGGCUGGAGUGACACACCCAAACAAUUAUGCUACCUGGAUCUGCCAAGGCAGGAGGACAAACUCAGCAGCCUGGAGAAUGGAGGACACAGUCCAGAGUUGGUGAGCCAAGUUUUCUUCUGUUUGUUUUGCUGUUGCUGUUUUUGUUCUUGUUGACCUAUUGAGUUCUAUGAUGAGACCAAACGUUUAAUAAUUGUCUUCUAUUCUAAAACUUGUCUCUCAGCAACAACAGCAGCAAUUACUUUUGACCACUCACUAUCGGAAAACACUGCUUUAGGCUGUGGAAAUGCAGUAGUAGAAAAGCCAGGCAUAAUCCUUAUCCCCAUGGAGGCACUAUCUCCAUCCAAGGGCAGAGGACCUGCAAGCCCUGAGGUCUCCAGCUGAGGUUCCUCUCUGAAGGACAGUUGCACUUCAGGUCAUGCUGCAGUAUGAGAGAAGGCAGCGUGACAUCUUGAGUUUCUAAUGCUCACACCUGUCUCAGUGAAGCAUUUUUACAGAGUAAUCACCACCCCCCUCACACCCCCAACAAUGUC